UGCUUGAGGCUAGCAAUGCUCUAUCGAACCAGGGACCCUUGCUUGAGGCUAGCAAUGCUCUAUCGAACCAGGGACCCUUGCUUGAGGCUAGCAAUGCUCUAUCGAACCAGGGACCCUUGCUUGAGGCUAGCAAUGCUCUAUCGAACCAGGGACCCCCCUUGCUUGAGGCUAGCAAUGCUCUAUCGAACCAGGGACCCUUGCUUGAGGCUAGCAAUGCUCUAACCACUGCAGGAUACGAUUGUCAGGCACAUGUUUUUGUAUUGCCUAGACAUUGCUUCUACUCAUUUCUGGAAAACCAGCACGGUGAUGGUCUUGCCAAACCGUCUACAGUCUAUAACCGAGAGCUGUCUGUGUCCUUGCCACUGGCAUCCUAGGCACAUGGCAGACGCCCAUUCUGUCCUGUGCCACACACGCGAUCCGUGUGUGGGCUACAUGCCGCUGUCAUUCGGCCGCAUGGCUCACCAACCUGCCACCGCAGCAACUAUCGUAUACAGCGCCAGUGACCGUCGAUGUGUGCUCUCACUAGCUCGAGCUCUGGUCUCCUAAAAUGCGGCAUUCUCACCAGACAGUGUUGUGUUGUCAAUGAGACUCAGCACGUGACGUUCGGCUCUCUGGUAAAGAUUAUACCUGGGAGUCAGCAUAGUGGAAGAGGAGGAUUCAAGUUCAUUCAAGAAGAUGAGGAAGGGUCAAACAGGAGCCUACCGUGAAUAAUGGUCUUGCCAAACCGUCUACAGUCUAUAACCAAGACCGGUCUGCCAUGAAUAGAGCAUAGUCCAAGGCGUAUGGCAAGUUGUUCUCGGUCCACAAACUCUACUAAGCGCCGAUCAAGAGCCCGUCCGAAAGUAAUGCAUUGGCACUGGAAGACAAUGUUUCCGGAGUACCGCAUUCCCGGACAUGCUAUGGAGAGCCAUCCAGGGUAUUCCCCUAAUGCCGCUAGUUCUGCAGACAAAAGGGAAAGGCACGACGUUGUUAAUGCAACAAAUUGUGUGCAUUCAGCAUCCUCCAAAGAUGUAACCACGGUUACCGCAGAGCUGGACAAGUGCAGUUUUAAUUGCGGCCUACCACCAACUAUAUGUACUAGGUAUCGAGAGCGGUUGAAGGAUUUUCUUACCAGUGGAAGUUGAUGAACUGAUCAGGAUUGAUAACAUGUAGCAUUGUUUGUGGAUCAUAGGCUCUAGCUUAAAUGUCGUGUCUUGUAUCUUGACAAUCUAUGCAUCAGUCUCCAUGUAUAUGUGCCCUAAUAUCAUUUGCUUGUAUAUAUCAGCAUUGGCUAUCCUUGUAAAUGUUUUUUGUUGUACACCAGUAUCUGGCUGGUCAGCAAAGUAGUGUGUUGUACUAGGUCUUGUCUAGCUUGCAAUGGUUGUGGCAUACUGAGCACUGCACUCACUCCAUUCCAAAAUCAGCACUGUUUUUGUUUGAAAUCUGUCUGAAAAUACGUAAAAAUUAUUUGGGGUGGUGUUUAUGUUUAUGAUUUCCUAUUUUUCACUUUUGCUGUCAAAAUGAGAACCAACAUUUCUGCGGGGUGUGCUGCUGCCAGCCUUGAUCACUCAGUGUUGAAGAAUAGGCGCGGCAAAUGAGUGAUUGUAUGGCAAGUGAA